UGAAGCCUGAACUCGAGUAGGGCCCAAGCCAGCCAGGAAGGAGGAGGCAGCCAGAGUGUUCUCUGCAGCAGAAGAUCCCUUGCUGCCCUGCUUAACCCAGACCAGCAUUUGCCAGAGCAAUGUAGAGGGGAAGAAUGAAUGACAGAAAAAGUAAUAAGAAUGUGCAUUUACAUGGAUCUGCUGAGUCUGCAGUCAGAGUCUUCAUUCUAAAAGAUAAAGAAACACCUUAUCCAGAUGCCCAGUAUAAUCCAGAAUGGGUCAUCCAGAAUCAAAAAUUGAACUUUUCAGACACAAUCACAAACAUUUUGUUUGGUGAAAACCAAACACAGGCUUCCAAAGUAAGAACCUCAUCAAGCAUGGUGGAGGAGGCAUCAUGUUUUGGGGCUGCUUUGCUGCAUCUGGACCUGGAUGGCUUGCCAUCAUUGGUGGAACCAUAAAUUCAGCUGCAAAUCAGAAAAUUCUAGAGGACAACAUCAGACCAUCUGUCUGUGAGCUGAAGCUGAGCUAAAAGUGGGUCAUGCAGCAAAACGACCCUAAGCAUUCAAGUAAGUCUACCAUAGGGUGGCUGAAGAAGAGAUUUCAUGUUUUGGGGUGGCCAAGUCAAAAUCCCAACCACAACUCUUAUUGAAAUGUUGUGGUAAGACCUGGAGCAAGCUGUCCAUGCAAGGAAGCGCUCAAAUAUCACAGAGCUAAAACUGUUUUGUAUGGAAGAAUGCACCAAGAUUCCUCCAAGCUGAUGUGAGAAACUGAUCACCAGUUACAGAACAUGUUUAGUUGCCGUUACUGCUGCUCAAGGAGUACCGGUGCCACCAGUUAUUGAAUGAAGAGUUCACAUAUUUUUCACACAAGGAUUUUUGUUGUUGAAUAUUUCUGUUGCAUGAAUAUUCAAAAUAUAUUCUUUUUGCCUGA